UCAGAUGUUGCCAUCCUAACUUCAGAAUGGGAUUGUAUUUGGAAAUAGAAUCUUUAAAGAGGUAAAGUUAAAAGGAGGUCAUAGAUGUGGGCCCUAAUCUAAUACAAAUUGUGUGCUUAUAAAAAGAGGAGAUUGGGACACAGCCACACACAGAGGGAAGACCAUGUGAAGACACGCAAGAGAAAAGACAGCCAUCUAGAAGCCAAAGAGAGAGGCCUUAGAAGAAACCAACCUUGCCAAACACCCUGAUCUCAGGCUUCAAACUUCCAGCACAGCACACUGCCGAUCAAAUCAUCCCUGAUGAUUGUCUCAUGGCACCAUCGUGCUUCUGCCGUCUUGUUCCUGCACCACCACAGACACUCAGGAGCUCUCAAGGGGCCUGGACUGUAUAGUGUUCUGUGGCACAACAGGCACCUCAAUCUCAUGCAAGUACAGUUAAAGAGCAUCAGAUCUGCGCUGCCCUCAUGGAAAUGCUCAGCUUCUGAUGUGCAUGUGACGUGGUGUUGGAGAAUGCUCAGGGGACAGACCCAGGAGCUGCUGCCCAAGGAUUCUUUGACAGAAUCCCAAUCCGGGAUUCUUUGGAGGCUUUUUCUCUGCAGUAUACAAAUAACCCUGAGUAUUGAGCCCUUCCUGAGAUCAAAGUUAAACAUGAGAGCUAAAGGUAGAGCUAGAGGACAUAGGGAAAUGCAAACCCAGUAAAGCUCUGGGGAAAGAGGCUCGCCUAUGCACUCUGCAGAACCUCUACCUCCAGCUUCAAUGUCUGCACCCAAG